CGUCGAAGGUGGAAUCAAUAACUGGGGUGAAGUCGUAACAAGGUAGCCGUAUCGGAAGGUGCGGCUGGAUCACCUCCUUU
rnacentral:rRNA from 1 species